rnacentral:rRNA from 1 species
CUCGCUGUAGUCACUUCCAGCCAGUGAGAGUGGUUCGUAUAGCGCAUCAUUGACGUAGCUGCAGAGAGCCACGCUAACCUCCGUGCAGCAGCGGGGUUAUACGAGGGUCCAACGGUAUCCGAAUUACUGAGCUAAAGGGCUGCAGGUGGUUAGUUAGUUCAGAGGGAAAGCCGGGGUUCACCUUCGAACCUCCAUUGGAACCUGCCUGAUUUAAGUCCGGUGGGGGGGGUGGAUUCCGGGUAAGCGUGAAAUGCGUAGAGUUCUGAAGAAAUACCGGGGAAAGGCGCCCCCCUGACCAGAUAUGACCAUUCGGAUGAAAGGCGGGGAAGCAAACAGGAUAGGAUACCUUGUUAGUCCACCCGUUAACGAUGUUCUACUUGGAGUUUGUGCCUUGAACCGUUGGCUUUGGAAGUUAAGCGUUUAAGUAGACGCCUGGGGGAGUACGGUGCCAGGAUUAAAAUUCAAAUGAAUUGCGGGGGGCCGGCCCAACCGGUGGACCAUGUGGUUUAUUUGGAUGCAACGGGAGGACCUUUCCUUAUUUUGACCAUCCAGAGAAUUUAGCAGAGAUGUUUGGGUCCUUUGGGGAAUUUUGAGCCAGGUGUGCCAUGGCGUUGUUCAGUUGGUGUUGUGAAAUGUGGGGUUAAUUCCCCCAAGGAGGCCACCCUUUUCCUUUUUUUCCCAGCAGUUAGGUUGGGAACUCCAGGGAGACUGCCGGUGAUAAACCGGAGGAAGGUGGGGACGACGUCAAGUCAUCAUGGCCCUUACGAGUAGGGCUACACACGUGCUACAAUGGCGCAUACAGAGGGCAGCCAACUUGCGAAAGUGAGCGAAUCCCAAAAAGUGCGUCGUAGUCCGGAUUGGAGUCUGCAACUCGACUCCAUGAAGUCGGAAUCGCUAGUAAUCGUGGAUCAGAAUGCCACGGUGAAUACGUUCCCGGGCCUUGUACACACCGCCCGUCACACCAUGGGAGUGGGCUGCAAAAGAAGUGGGUAGUUUAACCUUCGGGAGGACGCUCACCACUUUGGUACA